rnacentral:tRNA from 1 species
GAGGGUGGAGCUCAGUGGUAGAGCACGUGCUUAGCAUGCAUGAAGUCAUGGGUUCAAUCCCCCGUACCUCCA